rnacentral:rRNA from 1 species
GACGAACGCUGGCGGCGUGCUUAACACAUGCAAGUCGAACGGAAAGGCCCUGCUUGCGGGGUACUCGAGUGGCGAACGGGUGAGUAACACGUGGGUGAUCUGCCCUGCACUUCGGGAUAAGCCUGGGAAACUGGGUCUAAUACCGGAUAGGAGCCAUCUUUAGUGUGAUGGUUGGAAAGUUUUUUCGGUGUAGGCUGAGCUCGCGGCCUAUCCGCCUGUUGGUGGGGUAAUGGCCUACCAAGGCGGCGACGGGUAGGCGGCCUGAGAGGGUGGACGGCCACAUUGGGACUGAGAUACGGACCAGACGCCUACGGGAGGCAGCAGUGGGGAGUAUUGCAGAAUGGGGGCGAGCCUGAUGCAGAGGCGCCGCGUGGGGGAUGACGGGCUUCGGGUUGUAAACUCCUGUCGCUAGGGACGAAGCUUUUUGUGACGGUACCUAGAUAAGAAGCACCGGCUAACUACGUG